rnacentral:rRNA from 1 species
AAACUUAAAUGAAUUGACGGGGGCCCGCACAAGCAGUGGAGUAUGUGGUUUAAUUCGAAGCAACGCGAAGAACCUUACCAGGUCUUGACAUCGUGCGCAUAACCUAGAGAUAGGUGAAGCCCUUCGGGGCGCAUAGACAGGUGGUGCAUGGUUGUCGUCAGCUCGUGUCGUGAGAUGUUGGGUUAAGUCCCGCAACGAGCGCAACCCUUAUUACUAGUUGCUACGCAAGAGCACUCUAGUGAGACUGCCGUUGACAAAACGGAGGAAGGUGGGGAUGACGUCAAAUCAUCAUGCCCCUUAUGACCUGGGCUACACACGUACUACAAUGGCACUUUAACAGAGGGCUGCUACAUCGCGAGGUGAAGCGAAUCCCGAAAAAGUGUCUCAGUUCGGAUUGCAGGCUGCAACUCGCCUGCAUGAAGUCGGAAUUGCUAGUAAUCGCGGAUCAGCAUGCCGCGGUGAAUACGUUCCCGGGCCUUGUACACACCGCCCGUCACACCAUGGGAGUCGGUAACACCCGAAGCCAGUAGUCUAACCGCAAGGGGGACGCUGUCGAAGGUGGGAUUGAUGACUGGGGUGAAGUCGUAACAAGGUAGCCGUAUCGGAAGGUGCGGCUGGAUCCUCCUUUAU